GAUGAACGCUGGCGGCGUGCCUAAUACAUGCAAGUCGAGCGAACAGACGAGGAGCUUGCUCCUCUGACGUUAGCGGCGGACGGGUGAGUAACACGUGGAUAACCUACCUAUAAGACUGGGAUAACUUCGGGAAACCGGAGCUAAUACCGGAUAAUAUAUUGAACCGCAUGGUUCAAUAGUGAAAGACGGUUUUGCUGUCACUUAUAGAUGGAUCCGCGCUGCAUUAGCUAGUUGGUAAGGUAACGGCUUACCAAGGCAACGAUGCGUAGCCGACCUGAGAGGGUGAUCGGCCACACUGGAACUGAGACACGGACCAGACUCCUACGGGAGGCAGCAGUAGGGAAUCUUCCGCAAUGGGCGAAAGCCUGACGGAGCAACGCCGCGUGAGUGAUGAAGGUCUUCGGAUCGUAAAACUCUGUUAUUAGGGAAGAACAAAUGUGUAAGUAACUAUGCACGUCUUGACGGUACCUAAUCAGAAAGCCACGGCUAACUACGUG
rnacentral:rRNA from 1 species